GUGUCAGCAGCCGCGGUAAUACGUAGGGUGCGAGCGUUGUCCGGAAUUACUGGGCGUAAAGAGCUCGUAGGCGGUUUGUCACGUCGUCUGUGAAAUCCUCCAGCUUAACUGGGGGCGUGCAGGCGAUACGGGCAGACUUGAGUACUACAGGGGAGACUGGAAUUCCUGGUGUAGCGGUGAAAUGCGCAGAUAUCAGGAGGAACACCGGUGGCGAAGGCGGGUCUCUGGGUAGUAACUGACGCUGAGGAGCGAAAGCAUGGGUAGCGAACAGGAUUAGAAACCCCCGUAGUCC
rnacentral:rRNA from 1 species